rnacentral:rRNA from 1 species
AGGACGAACGCUGGCGGCGUGCUUAACACAUGCAAGUCGAGCGGAAAGGCCCUUCGGGGUACUCGAGCGGCGAACGGGUGAGUAACACGUGAGCAAUCUGCCCUUAGCUUCGGGAUAGCCCCGGGAAACCGGGAUUAAUACCGAAUAUGACCUCGGCCGACAUCGGCUUUGGUGGAAAGUUUUUCGGCUAGGGAUGAACUCGCGGCCUAUCAGCUUGUUGGUGGGGUAAUGGCCUACCAAGGCGACGACGGGUAGCCGGCCUGAGAGGGCGACCGGCCACACUGGGACUGAGACACGGCCCAGACUCCUACGGGAGGCAGCAGUGGGGAUAUUGCGCAAUGGGCGAAAGCCUGACGCAGCGACGCCGCGUGGGGGAUGAAGGCCUUCGGGUUGUAAACCCCGUUUCAGCAGGGACGAAGCGAGAGUGACGGUACCUGCAGAGAAGCGCCGGCUAACUACGUGCCAGCAGCCGC